GCGGCGGGCCCAGUGAACUCUCCAAUCGUGCACCUUUAUGGGGCCGGAGAGCCGGUAACCUUAGAUCGCCUAAGAUCGAAUGGAACUGGAUUGGAUUGAGACGGAAAAGAUAGAUAUAUAAAAUGUUCCGUGAUUGAAUUGUAGUCAGUCUUCACUUAACUCGACCCAAGCGAUGCCUACAUUCAAUCAAUUGAUUCGUCAUGGUAAAAAAGAAGAACGGCGCUUUUUUUCGGACCGUACUAGAGUUGAAUCUUCCCAAACUGAAGCUAGGAGUAGGCCCACGUCUUUCAACGAGAACACAAAAAUCUUGCAUCUGUCUUUUUCUUUUCUUUGGUCUUUUUCCCAAGCACAUCUAUAUCAAAGAAAGUCAAAGUAUCUCCUGGGUAGAAGAGCGAUGAAAGUAGUAGCCUGUAAUGACAAGAAGUAUGUGAUCCCUAAUUUCGUUGCUUAUCCUUCUUUUUUUUCUUUCACUUUUUUACUCUCUGCUUUCUAUUGAGACAUUCGAUAGUCUGGUCUGGAGACUUGCUAGCUCACUGAGCAAGGAAGCCUUAUCCAGACUCUUACUUCGGAGUGGCUCCUCCGUGACUCUCAUCAUGGCCGGAUGUUUGGAUUUGCUCUACGGGCCUUCUUCCUCGCUACCGAGGGGGGGCUAUCCAUGGCAAAUUACAUGAUGCCUCACGGACGAAUCCUCCAAUUCGGAUUUCUUUACCUAUACUUCCGAUUUGGUGGAGGAUUCGGCCAGUUCCGGGCGUAGUAGCUCGGUCGUCCGAGUCCGAGUCCGAGUCCGAGUCCGAGUCCGAUUCUUCUUCCUCUUCCGCUUCCGAGUCCGAGUCCGAGUCCGAGUCCGAACCGCGUCCGAUUCCGAUUCCGGGGCAACAAAACAAGCUAUGCCUCCCGCUCUUCCUGUUAUGCAGGAAGCUGCUAAUCAGGUUCUGCCCGAAAAAAAACCCCUACCCCCACAAAUUAUAGGGGGGGACUCGAUUGAGCGGAUAAAGUGGCGACUCUUGUCCCAAUCGAAAAAUCCGUCGGCCCAGGAGAUCAUUCUGGCCGGAAUUCGGGCCGAAGACCAGUUCCGAAUCAAGGUCGAUAUAAUCCGGCGGAUGGCCACCCUUGAUUCGGAACCAGAAGGGGAUUGGUUGGGAAGGGGAGCUCGGGCUCUCGACAAUCCCCGUACCGCCACGGGGGAGGAGUCGUUGGACAAACUCUAUAGACUCCGUGCAGAUCUAGCUCUUUUUUGGGGAGUCAGAUCCCAGUCCUUUUGGGAUUUGAAGGGCAAAUUUUGCGACGGCAGAAUUUUGAUGCCGAAUCGCAGGCAUAGGCCACAGCUCACUUCGACGUUUCGGUUUUGAUUCUGCGGUAUUCCCCCUUACCUCGAGGUC